rnacentral:rRNA from 1 species
GAUAGCCGCGGGAAACCGCGGGUAAUACCGGAUAAUGUCUCCGGACCAAAUGUGUGAUUCCGCCUGGGGACGGGUCCGCGUCCUAUUAGCUUGUUGGUGAGGUAACGGCUCACCAAGGCGACGAUGGGUACCGGGCGUGAGAGCAUGGCCCGGCUCACUGGGACUGAGACACUGCCCAGACACCUACGGGUGGCUGCAGUCGAGAAUCUUCGGCAAUGGACGCAAGUCCGACCGAGCGACGCCGCGUGCGGGAUGAAGGCCUUCGGGUUGUAAACCGCUGUCAGAGGGGAGGAAAUCCUGUGGGGUUCUCUCCACAGGUUGACCUAUCCUCAGAGGAAGUACGGACUAAGUUCGUGCCAGCAGCCGCGGUAAGACGAACCGUACAAACGUUAUUCGGAAUCACUGGGCUUAAAGGGUGCGUAGGCGGCCCUGCAAGUUGGGUGUGAAAGCCCUCGGCUCAACCGAGGAAUUGCGCCCAAAACUGCGGGGCUUGAGGGAGACAGAGGUGAGCGGAACUUAGGGUGGAGCGGUGAAAUGCGUUGAUAUCCUGAGGAACACCUGUAGCGAAAGCGGCUCACUGGGUCUCUUCUGACGCUGAGGCACGAAAGCUAGGGGAGCGAACGGGAUUAGAUACCCCGGUAGUCCUAGCUGUAAACGUUG